GUACUUGCUUUGGCAGCACAUAUAUUAAAAUUGGAAAGACACAGAGCAGAUCAGCAUGGCCCCUGCACAAGGGUGACAUGCAAAUUCAUGAAGCAUUCCAUAUUUUU
rnacentral:snRNA from 1 species